ACGCGGUGGAAAGUGGUUGUCUAGGUGCAAGUGAUGCACGUUGAAGGAGGGACCCUGGCCCGGUGGGGCCCGGGAAGGUGGUCCAAACUCGGCUAACCUGGCCCCCGGGCUCCUCCCUCAGCCCUGGCCCCCGGGCUCCUCCCUCAGCCCGAGCUCCCACGUUGAUCUUUAGCUCUCUACGCUCCUCUGCCUCCCGCUCGCCCCAGUUGCGUCGGAAUUCCGAAUUGUUUCUGCUUCCCAGAGGACCGUCGGUGACCCAGCUGAAGACCUUGAGGUCAGCAUCUUUCUAAGGGGCCUUGGUGCCCUGAUGGGUAUCCUUGGAUUCCAGGUAAAUCCAGGGCCUUUUCCAGCUGUGACUGGGGAAUGUCUGGUUUCUCCCUCUCUUCCCGCUUUCUGCCUUGCUUUUUUUCUAAGGCUUCCCUCUUGGGAGGAAGGCUGGUGUUUCGUGCCUUUUGGGAAGAUAAUUUCUUGAACCUCACUCAAGGCAAACUGCCUUGGUCAAACUCAAUGCUAUGUCCAGUAGAAUUCAUACUUCCCUUUAGGCAUUAUCAGGAACGCAGGGUGAAUAACUUGGGACCCUCCUGUUGCUCCCACCUCACCCUCUGCCUUCGUGCCACCUUCUGUUACUCCCAAUUCCAGUUCCUCUAAGUUAUUUUCACUCCUUCUGGGAUCCCCUUCACGUCCAGCCUGUGCCGUAUAUUCCCACCUGCAAGCACCCUAUUACCUGGUCAGUUCCAUGCAGCCCAGUCCCCUGGGAUACACUCAAGUAUAGGAAAAUAAGAGAGACCUUAAGGUCAGUUCAGCCAACUGCCAUGUAUCAAGUUUGAUACUCAAGGUUUUCUAAAAACCCUUCAGAGGCUGUUCCUGAAAGAGAACAGGGUUUUCUUCCUCUUAGGUCACUUCCUUGAUCUUUUUCAGUGUUAACUGGCUUUCAAAUAUACUUUCUCAUUCCUUCGAACAGGCUGACCUCUCUGCUCCCUAGGGUCAGUCCCCCUGAAACUCGGCAAAAACUCAGUUACAAUUAGGCCCACAAACACAAAUGCCAUAGCUCCUAGAGGUGGCCUUCGAAGUAUUUAGUGAUGGAGGAGAAGGAAAGGACCACCAUGAAAAAGCCAGGCCAAGGCUCAAACUAAAUAGAUGGCCUUUGCUCUCGGCAAUGCUUCAUAACCUCAGGGCAACCCAAAAGUGGGCAGGAGGGGUCAGCCAUCAGUCUGGAGGUGAGACCAACAAGGGGGGUUUAUGUGUAAGCCAACUAACCAUUGGCCAGUGAGUACCAGGAGGCCCCGGGCCAUGCCCAGUCUACACACAGGCCAGUCACUGGGGAUGGGACUGCCCUUGGUCGCUAAGGAGGGGCCCCUUCUCCUGGGAUGGCCGUGCUGGAAGCCCAGGGAUUCAGGUUGCUCCCCUGCCACAAGAUGUCUGUAUCCAUCGAGGAGCCCCUGAUGGCAGGUAAGAAUAUAUAUAUAUAUAUAUAUAUUUUUUUUUUUUUUAGAAGUAUAUUUUUUUUAAUACAGGAGCCACUUUGUCCAGAUUUCUCAUGCUGGGCCUCCUUCCUGGUGACUAGCUGAUGGAAAUCCUUGGCCCCUUUACUUCACUGAGCUCUCACAUGCCUUUUGAGUUGAGUGUCCUACCCCACUAUCAAGGAGAGACCUGGGCUCCCUCAGGGCCACAUGGUGGUUAGGAGGCCUUAAGCAGCCUCUAACCUUGACCCUGGCUGAGGCUGAUCAAUAGGAAGAGCGGGGGCCUGUUCCCAACCAGAGUCUGCAAGCCGUGAACAAUGCAGUUUGAAACAGGUCCCUGGAAGGCCAUAAACGCCCAACCGGCAGAAACUCAUCUUAAGCCAGUAGCUGCCAUAAGAUUAGAUGGAAAAGGUUACAACCCUAAACAGAUGCAUUCUUAAAACAUAGGCUCUUGGUGCUCUGUCUGAAUACAGGAGUCCCAUUCUGUCAGUUAGCCAAAUGAGGGAUACAGGAUGGUGCAAGACCUCAGCAGGAAGAUGCAGUGGUCCCUGUACACCCCCUUGUGGCCAAUCCUUAUAAAACUCCGUGAAGAUGCUGUGUGAUUCACUCUCUGACCUUAAAUCCCAGUUGACCCCUCACAGUAUCAGAUUGCCUUUGAGCGGACUAACCCCAACCUGGACCAGAUGCAGCAAUGCACUUGGUGGACAGAAGUACCCACCACAGGGGUGUUGGGAUGUCAACACUUGUUUGCCCAAACCCUAAGAAAGGAAUUAAAGAAGAUAUGCUAAAAGGGACUGUUCUACAGUCUGUAGAUAUAUGUUGAUAUGGAGGCUCAGAUGAGAAUGACAUUGAAGUUCUUAAUUUCCUUCAAGCCUGGGGUUACAGGUUCUUCCAGAAAAAAGGCACAAAUUUCAUAGCAACAAGUUCAAUACAUGGAAUAUAUUAUAACCCCUGGAAAUAGACAGCUGUUCUAAGAGAGAAGAGUUACAUUAGGUUUGAGUGCCCCCAAAGAUGUUUUUUUGUACUUUCAAAAUUAGCCCUCUCUAAAGCUCCUGCUCUGGGUCUCUUUAAAAAGCCAUUUUGUAUCUGGCUGGAAAGGAAGGGAGGGACUAUUCUGGAGGGUAGGGUCCUGAUACAGAAGCUGGGAGACGUUCCUCAGCCAGUAGGCUACUUUUCCAAGCAACUAGAUUCAGUGGCUCCAGGUUGGCCUGGCAGUAGCUGCUGUCAAUUUGAUUACUGGAGGAGGCUAACAAGCUUGACCUUUGGAAAGUGAAAGUCACUCAGUCUUUGUGACUUUUUGCGACCCCAUGGACUAUACAGUUCAUGGACUUCUCCAGGCCAGAAUACUGGAGUGGGUAGCUGUUCCCUUUUUUGAGUUGUCAUAUGAUCCAGCAGUCCAACUCCUGGGCACAUACCCAGACAAAACAAUUAUUCAAAAAGAUAACAUGCACUCUGUUAUAAUGUCUUUUCAUAAUGAAGAGCAAAAAAAAAAAUGGUUGCUUGUUUAUUGCUAUGCUCACCACUUCUGUAAACUGGCCUACUUAUUGGGUCAGCCAAACUGCUUAGGCGGGAAAGUCACUGGGACCCAGAGCCCCAUGCCAUAUAAGAUGGUCAGAACAAAGCCUGUGCACUCACCCUCUGGAGGCGACUCUGCAGAGUCUGAACAGGUGCUAAAAUAAACUGCUGUUCUGCAUC